GGAGUGGUGAAAACUAUUGCCAGGGACUGAGAUCUGCACACAGGAUUUCCAUUGACAGGUGCCAGGGACUAAACUCAUGAUGGUAUGAGUGAUCAUUUAUGCGUGCCGCUAUGUGGCACGGAAAAUAGCAGCUUCCAGACGUGGUGACAGCGAGGAGGACACGGUCAUGGCCAAUGGAUCUGCAAGACCUUCGUGCAUGCUGCGCCAAGGGAAAAAGAAAGAUAGUGCACUGCCACCUACUCUUUCCACCCCACUGACGUCCGACACACAAGGAGAACUUCCCUGCUCCCCCACAUCCACGUCACGUGAUCCGGUGCCGUAUUAAUAUCGCCAGUAAAGAAAAAGGCCGGCAGUCAAGAUAAAGGCAUCA